rnacentral:rRNA from 1 species
UACGUAGGGUGCGAGCGUUAAUCGGAAUUACUGGGCGUAAAGCGUGCGCAGGCGGUUUUGUAAGCCGGAUGUGAAAUCCCCGGGCUUAACCUGGGAAUGGCAUUCGGGACUGCAAGGCUGGAGUGCGGCAGAGGAGACUGGAAUUCCUGGUGUAGCAGUGAAAUGCGUAGAUAUCGGGAGGAACACCGAUGGCGAAGGCAGGUCACUGGGCCGCAACUGACGCUGAGGAGCGAAAGCAUGGGGAGCGAACAGG